UGUAUGGAGACAAAAGAUUGAAGGGAACAUUAAUCUUCUUUACUCGAAAGUUCCAUGAAGGGGUUUUCGACAUCCUGUUAUGGAUUUUAACGUGUAGACCUACGAUUAAUAUUACUUGAAAUUCAAAUGCCAUUGCAUAGAUUUAUUCAAAAUAAUGUCACCUUCGACAAUUAUCUGGGAAGAAAUCUUAACGCCAAUAAUAAUGAGCGAUUAUAUUUUAAAGUGACAACGAAUACGGGAAAAAAAAGAAAAUCAUGGCUAUUUGCCCAUUGAAUAGAUAUAAGCUAGAUUUGGAAUACGCUGCCAGUAAGAAUAGUUGUAACGGUGUUCUUUAUGUCAUGGGAGGAUUUCAAGGCAAUCCCCAUUGAGAAAAAAGAAGCAAUGCAAAAGAUAAAAAAUUAAAUCUGUAAACGUUUUAUACACACAUUUAUUAUGAUAAAUGAAUUAUCAUUAUAAGAGCGAUGAUUUUACUUAUUCUUCUGAGUUAUUCAUUAAAUUACUUCCUCUUAUUAGUGAUUUGCAAAAAAAAAAAAAAUAA